AUUGAACGCUGGCGGCAGGCCUAACACAUGCAAGUCGAGCGGAUGAAGGGAGCUUGCUCCUGGAUUCAGCGGCGGACGGGUGAGUAAUGCCUAGGAAUCUGCCUGGUAGUGGGGGAUAACGUCCGGAAACGGGCGCUAAUACCGCAUACGUCCUGAGGGAGAAAGUGGGGGAUCUUCGGACCUCACGCUAUCAGAUGAGCCUAGGUCGGAUUAGCUAGUUGGUGGGGUAAAGGCCUACCAAGGCGACGAUCCGUAACUGGUCUGAGAGGAUGAUCAGUCAAAAUGGAACUGAGAAACGGUCCAGACUCCUACGGGAGGCAGCAGUGGGGAAUAUUGGACAAUGGGCGAAAGCCUGAUCCAGCCAUGCUGCGUGUGUGAAGAAGGUCUUCGGAUUGUAAAGCACUUUAAGUUGGGAGGAAGGGCAGUAAGUUAAUACCUUGCUGUUUUGACGUUACCAACAGAAUAAGCACCGGCUAACUUCGUG
rnacentral:rRNA from 1 species